GAUGAACGCUGGCGGCGUGCCUAAUACAUGCAAGUCGAGCGAACGGACGAGAAGCUUGCUUCUCUGAUGUUAGCGGCGGACGGGUGAGUAACACGUGGAUAACCUACCUAUAAGACUGGGAUAACCUCGGGAAACCGGAGCUAAUACCGGAUGAUAUUUUGAACCGCAUGGUUCAAAAGUGAAAGACGGUCUUGCUGUCACUUAUAGAUGGAUCCGCGCUGCAUUAGCUAGUUGGUAAGGUAACGGCUUACCAAGGCAACGAUGCAUAGCCGACCUGAGAGGGUGAUCGGCCACACUGGAACUGAGACACGGUCCAGACUCCUACGGGAGGCAGCAGUAGGGAAUCUUCCGCAAAGGGCGAAAGCCUGACGGAGCAACGCCGCGUGAGUGAUGAAGGUCUUCGGAUCGUAAAACUCUGUUAUUAGGGAAGAACAUAUGUGUAAGUAACUGUGCACAUCUUGACGGUACCUAAUCAGAAAGCCACGGCUAACUACGUG
rnacentral:rRNA from 1 species